rnacentral:misc_RNA from 1 species
UUUAUUUAUUUAUUUAUUUUAAUCAAUCAUUCAUUCCUGGGGUUCUGAUAGAGAGAAAGAGGGAAGAUUCUUUUGAGAUGCAGCAUACUUGAGGUAGUUUGGGUGCAUAGUUGGAGCAAAAUUCAAGAUUUUUUUUAUUUUUUUCUGAGGAUCAAUUUUGUCAUUGUAGCUUGGUUGGAACAAAAUAUAGGACAGUUGCUUCUUUAUGGUACUUUACAUCUGGAGCUAUCAGAUUCGGAAGAGUUUUACUUGCUCUGUUUUGUUUCUUUUCUAUAACUUUUAGUAGGAAACUUUUCCUCUGGCCUGUAAUUAUAUCUCUUCUUAUUGAUAUUCUUGUUUUGCCAAAGUAGGUUUGGAUCGCAUGUUUCCUUGAAUUUUUUUUAUUUAAUUAAAUAAAAUAUUUAUUUCCUUUUAGUGGGUGUUUUUUCUUAUAACAAUGAUGUCUGGAGCUUAACUCAAAAAUUGAUUAGUAGCCUUCCUUUGUUCAUAUAUUUUUUUCCUUUUGUUAUUUUUCUGAAGUUGUUCUAAAUAAAAAUGUUGCUCAUUCUGUAGAAUUUGUUGUGACAGAAUUUAUCCCAAGGAAGAGGUAUUGGAAGGAGAG